rnacentral:rRNA from 1 species
GAGCUAUCAUGAGCGGACGAUACCUGGGGGGGAACAGACGGCCGAGUGAAAAGCGGUAGAAGCCGCCAGAGGACCCCCUAACUCUGUUUCUAUAAUGCUUCUUCUGAGUAAAACAAGCAAAUAAAUUAAAACUUUCAACAACGGAUCUCUUGGCUCUGGCAUCGAUGAAGAACGCACUCGAAAUGCGAUAAGUAAUGUGAAUUGCAGAAUUCAGUGAAUCAUCGAAUCUUUGAACGCACAUUGCGCCCGCCAGUAUUCUGGCGGGCAUGCCUGUUCGAGCGUCAUUACAACCCUCAGGCCCCCGGGCCUGGCGUUGGGGAUCGGCGGAGGCCCUCCGUGGGCACACGCCGUCCCCCAAAUACAGUGGCGGUCCCGCCGCAGCUUCCAUCGCGUAGUAGCUAACACCUCGCGACUGUUGUAGUGGCUGCGGCCACGCCGUAAAACCCCCAACUCUUCUGAAGGUGACCUCGAAUCAGGUAGGAAUACCCGCUGAACUUAAGCAUAUCAAUAAACGGAGGAAGCU